CCUACGGGUGGCUGCAGUGGGGAAUAUUGGACAAUGGGGGCAACCCUGAUCCAGCCAUGCCGCGUGUGUGAAGAAGGCCCUCGGGUUGUAAAGCACUUUCAGUGAGGAAGAACGCCUGGUGGUUAAUACCCAUCAGGAAAGACAUCACUCACAGAAGAAGCACCGGCUAACUCCGUGCCAGCAGCCGCGGUAAUACGGAGGGUGUGAGCGUUAAUCGGAAUUACUGGGCGUAAAGCGCGCGUAGGUGGCUUGAUAAGCCGGUUGUGAAAGCCCCGGGCUCAACCUGGGAACGGCAUCCGGAACUGUCAAGCUAGAGUGCAGGAGAGGAAGGUAGAAUUCCCGGUGUAGCGGUGAAAUGCGUAGAGAUCGGGAGGAAUACCAGUGGCGAAGGCGGCCUUCUGGACUGACACUGACACUGAGGUGCGAAAGCGUGGGUAGCAAACAGGAUUAGAUACCCGUGUAGUC
rnacentral:rRNA from 1 species